AAAAAUCGGGUCUGUGGUUGCAAGCCGAUGCCAGUCGCAGGCGAAGCGGUCCACGUAAGCCGGGAAAAUCCCGGUGAGCAUGGUGCGGUCUAGAGGUAAGCCCGGCCGCGCGGAAAGCGCGAGAGAACGGCGUGAGGGCGCGAAGGCGCAGAGCAAAGUUCCAGCCGGCGAGUGUGGGGUCAAAGACCAGGUCAGCCGACGUUU
rnacentral:ncRNA from 1 species